UACGUAGGGUGCGAGCGUUGUCCGGAAUUACUGGGCGUAAAGAGCUCGUAGGUGGUUUGUCGCGUUUGUCCGUGAAAACUCACAACUCAAUUGUGGGCGUGCGGGCGAUACGGGCAGACUGGAGUACUGCAGGGGAGACUGGAAUUCCUGGUGUAGCGGUGGAAUGCGCAGAUAUCAGGAGGAACACCGGUGGCGAAGGCGGGUCUCUGGGCCGAUACUGACGCUGAGGAGCGAAAGCAUGGGGAGCGAACAGG
rnacentral:rRNA from 1 species